UUGAUCUCAAAUCAGGUAGGACUACCCGCUGAACUUAAGCAUAUCAAUAAGCGGAGGAAAAGAAACUAACAAGGAUUCCCCUAGUAACUGCGAGUGAAGCGGGAAGAGCUCAAAUUUAAAAUCUGGCGUGCCUCUGGUCGUCCGAGUUGUAGUCUGGAGAAGCGUUUUCCGUGUUGGACCGUGUAUAAGUCUCUUGGAACAGGGCGUCAUAGAGGGUGAGAAUCCCGUCUUUGACACGGACUACCAAUGCUUUGUGAUGCGCUCUCAAAGAGUCGAGUUGUUUGGGAAUGCAGCUCAAAAUGGGUGGUAAAUUCCAUCUAAAGCUAAAUAUAGGCGAGAGACCGAUAGCGAACAAGUACCGUGAGGGAAAGAUGAAA
rnacentral:rRNA from 1 species